rnacentral:lncRNA from 1 species
AAUGACUCUCCUCUACCUGUAUAUAAGAAAAGCCCCAACAGUCCAAACAACAGUCCAGCGACCUCCUCCACCACCCGUGUGACAGUCUAUUCAAAUUGCAAAGAUUUGUGUGUGAUCACUGCAACCAUGCUGAAGGUAGUGUUUGUGCUUGGAUGCCUCCUGAGCCUCACCCUGGCUAAACCUCGGGACAUGGAACACAGACGACUUGCCCGAUCCGACUCCAACUCUGGCUCCGACUCAGACUCCAAUGAGAGAGCUUCAGCCGGGCCUAACCUGAGCACGCAGCAGUGGAUCCAGAUCCUUCUCGCCCUCUUCCCAACCCCAGCACCUACUACUGCAGCUACGACUACAGCUGCCACCACCACGACAACAACCCCGACAACGACAACCACAACUGCUGCUCCUGUAACAAAAUAAAAUCUGAAAUUCAAGCAGUGAAUGAAAUCCAACAUAUCGUGGGAUUCUGAUUUUGGACAUCAGUGCUAUUUUGUGACCUGCUUUACUGAGAACUUCAACUGUUUUAAACAAAUGCUUCCACACCCAACAUCCAAGUUCAAGUAAAACCAUGGAUCAAAAUCACUGUUUUCUUUGUUUCAUCUGCUGAAUAAACUUCAUAAAUGGAAAAGCUGUUGACUAAAUAUGUCUUUUUUUCUUAAAAAUCCAGUUUCAGAAACAUUAAUGAAACCUCUGGUCAGUGUGAAUACACAAAAAAAUGGUGUCAGUUAAUUGUAAGUUCCUUCUUGUGGCAGUAUACAAAUGAUGAAAACAUUAGCACAUA